CUCUCUUCUUCUCUCCCUCUUGUAGUACCAUACCUCAUUCAAAGGACCCCAGUGUUACUCUAUUAUUAGAGGAUGCUGCAUUCAUAAAGACAUGCGGUAUGGUAACUGAUGGAUCCCUUCAGACUCUGGACAAGAAACAAAUCUUGCACCUUUGUUAUGUGAAGAGUGAUCAUGAUAGAGCCUGUGAGCUCCAUACUCAAGGGUCCUGGGACACUGGUCAAUGGUAGAGAGGGAGGGGGUCCUACUAAAAUGAACCUGGACCCAUCUGAGGUUACUCUAAUGGGUUCAAGACCUCAGGUUCAUGUGGGGUUUGUUCAUUGUACUUAGGAUGAGUUCAUGAGGUUCAUAAUCAUCAGACUGUCACACUCUGUACUAGUUGCUAGUGAGGCCAGUGAAGAUACCCAGUAUAGGAAUGGAUUGGAGUGCUAACUUUAUGCAGUUAAAGAAGAGUCUCGUCUCACGAUUGGACACAUUAAAGAGAUCAAGUGAAAGUCAUAUGAUGUGGUACCCGUCACCUGUUCACACCUUGUUUGAUGAAGACAUACACUGUAAUAACCAUGGGAAUGGACCAAUUGUCAUGUCCACUACAGAAUAAUUAUAGCAUCUUCGGUAAAUUUUACAUGUACAUGCAUGUAUACAAGAUUAUGUUAUUAUAUAGGGAGAGUGUAUAGUUACGCUGGAACAUUACGACUUCAGUUUAAAGCCUGGAUUGCAUUCGCCAUAUAAUGCAAUGCGAAUAAAUGCAAGAUUAAAAUGGCAAAUUUUGUGUCCACUUCAAGCAUUUUUUUUCCAUUUAUGCCUAUUCAGUUUUGAGCAUUUCAUUGAAUGAAACCUAGCUUUAGUCACGUGAGGCAAGUAUU